rnacentral:lncRNA from 1 species
UUGACAUGGAAGUUUCAUAGAUACACUCAAACCUCGACAUAACGAACACGAAUAUAACGAAUUAUCACUUAUAACAAAGUAAAUGAAGAAUAGUCUUGUCAUAGAUACAGUGUUACAAAUAAACGUUUAUAACGAAUUUUCGGAUAUAACGAAGGUAUUUUCGUGGCGGAUGUGACUGUUAUAACGGGGUUUGAGUGUAUUGUCCAAGCAA